rnacentral:tRNA from 1 species
CGGGGCGUGGCUCAGUCUGGUAGAGCACCGCGUUUGGGACGCGGGGGUCGGGGGUUCGAAUCCCUCCGCCCCGACCA